rnacentral:rRNA from 1 species
GACGAAUGCUGGCUGCGUGCUUAACACAUGCAAGUCGAACGGUGAAGGGGAGCUUGCUCCCGGAUCAGUGGCGAACGGGUGAGUAACACGUGGGCAACCUGCCCCUCACUCUGGGAUAACUCCGGGAAACCGGGGCUAAUACCGGAUACGACCGGGAGCGACAUCGCUCCUGGUGGAAAGAACUUCGGUGAGGGAUGGGCCCGCGGCCUAUCAGCUAGUUGGUGGGGUAACGGCCCACCAAGGCGACGACGGGUAGCCGGCCUGAGAGGGCGACCGGCCACACUGGGACUGAGACAGGGCCCAGACUCCUACGGGAGGCAGCAGUGGGGAAUAUUGCGCAAUGGGCGAAAGCCUGACGCAGCGACGCAGCGUGAGGGACGAAGGCCUUCGGGUUGUAAACCUCUUUCAGCGGGGACGAAGCGAAAGUGACGGUACCCGCAGAAGAAGCACCGGCUAACUACGUGCCAGCCGCCGCGGUAA